AUUAAUUUGGCAGAAAAGUGCUUUAAAUUUAGAAUUUAAUUAUAUGUAAAAAUUACAUAAUUAAUA
rnacentral:tRNA from 1 species